UACGUAGGGUGCGAGCGUUGUCCGGAAUUAUUGGGCGUAAAGGGCUCGUAGGCGGUUUGUCGCGUCGGGAGUGAAAAUCCAGGGCUUAACUCUGGACUGGCUUCCGAUACGGGCAGACUAGAGGUAUGCAGGGGAGAACGGAAUUCCUGGUGUAGCGGUGAAAUGCGCAGAUAUCAGGAGGAACACCGGUGGCGAAGGCGGUUGCCUGGAGCUUUGCUGACGCUGAUGCGCGAAAGCGUGGGGAGCGAUCCGG
rnacentral:rRNA from 1 species